CCUACGGGUGGCAGCAGUGGGGAAUAUUGGACAAUGGGCGAAAGCCUGAUCCAGCCAUGCCGCGUGUGUGAAGAAGGCCUUCGGAUUGUAAAGCACUUUCAGUGGGGAAGAAAGCCUUGGGGCUAAUACCCUCGAGGAAGGACAUCACCCACAGAAGAAGCACCGGCUAACUCCGUGCCAGCAGCCGCGGUAAUACGGAGGGUGCGAGCGUUAAUCGGAAUUACUGGGCGUAAAGCGCGCGUAGGCGGUCUGAUAAGCCGGUUGUGAAAGCCCCGGGCUCAACCUGGGAACGGCAUCCGGAACUGUCAGGCUAGAGUGCAGGAGAGGAAGGUAGAAUUCCCGGUGUAGCGGUGAAAUGCGUAGAGAUCGGGAGGAAUACCAGUGGCGAAGGCGGCCUUCUGGACUGACACUGACGCUGAGGUGCGAAAGCGUGGGUAGCAAACAGGAUUAGAUACCCUGUAGUC
rnacentral:rRNA from 1 species